rnacentral:rRNA from 1 species
UUUCCGGUUGAUCCUGCCGGAGGCCAUUGCUAUCGGAGUCCGAUUUAGCCAUGCUAGUCGAGCGAGGUUAGCCCUCGCGGCGAACAGCUCAGUAACACGUGGCCAAGCUACCCUGCAGAGGGGGACAGCGUCGGGAAACUGACGGGAAUCCCCCAUACCGGUCUCACGCUGGAAUGCCGAGACCGACAAACGCUCCGGCGCUGCAGGAUGCGGCUGCGGCCGAUUAGGUAGUCGGUGGGGUAACGGCCCACCGAGCCGAUAAUUGGUACGGGGUGUGAGAGCACGAGCCCGGAGACGGAAUCUGAGACAAGAUUCCGGGCCCUACGGGGCGCAGCAGGCGCGAAACCUUUACACUGCACGAAGGUGCGAUAAGGGGACUCCGAGUGCGAGGGCAUACAGUCCUCGCUAUUGUGUACCGUAGGGUGGUACACGACCAAGAGCUGGGCAAGACCGGUGCCAGCCGCCGCGGUAAUACCGGCAGCUCGAGUGAUGGCCGAUUUUAUUGGGCCUAAAGCGUCCGUAGCUGGCCCUGCAAGUCCGUCGGGAAAUCCACUCGCCUAACGAGUGGGCGUCCGGCGGAAACUACAGGGCUUGGGACCGGAAGACUUGAGGGGUACGUCUGGGGUAGGAGUGAAAUCCUGUAAUCCUGGACGGACCGCCGAUGGCGAAAGCACCUCAAGACGACGGAUCCGACAGUGAGGGACGAAAGCUAGGGUCUCGAACCGGAUUAGAUACCCGGGUAGUCCUGGCCGUAAACGAUGUUCGCUAGAUGUGGCACAGGCUACGUGCCUGUGCUGUGUCGUAGGGAAGCCGAGAAGCGAACCGCCUGGGAAGUACGUCCGCAAGGAUGAAACUUAAAGGAAUUGGCGGGGGAGCACUACAACCGGAGGAGCCUGCGGUUUAAUUGGAUUCAACGCCGGGA